rnacentral:snRNA from 1 species
GGAUGUGAGGGCGAUCUGGCUGCGACAUCUGUCACCCCAUUGAUUGCCAGGGUUGAUUCGGCUGAUCUGGCUGGCUAGGCGGGUGUCCCCUUCCUCCCUCACCGCUCCAUGUGCGUCCCUCCGGAAGCUGCGCGCUCGGUCGAAGAGGACGGCCUUCCCCCGAAUAGAGACGGACCGGUCUUCGGUCGAGGGUAUACGAGUAGCUGCGCUCCCCUGCUAGAACCUCCAAACAAGCUCUCAAGGAAAUGUAACAAUCACAUUUACCAUCCAGAAUGGAGAAAAGAACAUUGUAAACGCUUCCAGCAUUAGAACUUGUGUUCCAUUUUGAUUUUGUU